ensembl:lncRNA
AAAAACCCUGAAGGAUGGUUCUCAAAAAUUCUAAAGGAACCACAGGGAAUUCCUUUUAAGAGCAACAGAAAGCAAGCUAGCUGAGACUUGUGGAUUUCUUAAAUUCUUCUGCGACCAUAAGAAGAAGGAGUCAAAGAAGAAUGCUUCCCUUGAAACUUGAAAAAGGAAAUAAGGAGCAAUUCUAAAGUAUCCCUGUCUCAUGACCCUGUCAUAUUCUCUGGGAAAUGAACUUAUGGAAGGCUGCAGGACGUGCCAGCAGAAGAGGUGAAGGGUUCCUGACUCUUGAGAAGGAUCCCGCCUCCCUCUUCUCCUUUAGAGGGAGAGCUCCCCACUAGCACCCUGAUCUUUCCUGGACCCUUCAAAGACAGCAUCCACAGUUUCCUGGACUGGAGAAGUCUGACGAGCAGUUCUUCCCAGGGCCUUCCUGAGCUGGAGGCUGACAGACGUGGAGACAGAGCUGCACCAGAAUCACGUGGAGGUGACGGGUUCACUUCUGGGCAGUCAGAUGAGCCAGACAUAGCCAGGCCUGGCUGCUGUGGAGGAUAAUGUUCCCUCUGGGGAAGAACACAAGGCACUGAUUUGGAAACCAAAACAUCGUGGAUACUCAAAGGACAACUUUAAUCCUUGCCGUCAUUUUCUUCAUCGUUGAUUUUAGAGAGGCUCCGAAGAUAUAAUUUACAGCCUCCAGAAGUCUAGCCGGGCGUGAUUGGAUGGUGUCCAGCCUUGCCAGAAUCAGAGAGGGUACCGCGGGUGGCCCAAGAUGAAGACUGAGCCAAGAGGCAGCUGGGCUCCAGGCCUGUGUGAAAACCCACAGGUGGACAAGAUGCAGCCAGGACUGUCUUCAUGCGGGACCCAUCAGCCCUGAGAACCCUGAAACCC